rnacentral:rRNA from 1 species
UACGGAGGGUGCGAGCGUUGUCCGGAAUCAUUGGGCGUAAAGGGCUCGUAGGCGGCCAACUAAGUCCGACGUGAAAUCCCCAGGCUUAACCUGGGAACUGCGUCGGAUACUGGAUGGCUUGAAUUCGGGAGAGGGAUGCAGAAUUCCAGGUGUAGCGGUGAAAUGCGUAGAUAUCUGGAGGAAUACCGGUGGCGAAGGCGGCAUCCUGGACCGACAUUGACGCUGAGGAGCGAAAGCUAGGGGAGCAAACGGG